UCCAUGCCGUAAACGAUGUCAACUAACUGUUGGGUACUUCGGUACUUAGUGGUGGAGCUAACGUAUUAAGUUGACCGCCUGGGGAGUACGGCCGCAAGGCUAAAACUCAAAUGAAUUGACGGGGGCCCGCACAAGCGGUGGAGCAUGUGGUUUAAUUCGAUGCAACGCGAAGAACCUUACCUACCCUUGACAUCCAGAGAAUCUGUUAGAGAUAGUAGAGUGCCUUCGGGAGC
rnacentral:rRNA from 1 species